CUUCUCCCUCCGUUUUGCUUAGUACUUGAUGAUGAGGAUGAGGAUGAUUGUGAUGAAGUUAGAGUGUUGCUAAUGGACAAAGAAUUGCUAAGCAAUUUAGUGAAGUUGCUUAACAUGGAUGGGAAGUAAUUUAAGUGAGAUGGAAGGUUGAAAUCAAUGAAACCAUUUUGGCAAGUUUGAUGAUUGGUAAUGGAAGCACUUUGCCAAGUUAAUUUGUCAUUUAGGUUGUUUGAGUUUAUUGAGCGUUUGAGUUGAUAUAUUGUAUCCUCAUAAAGCUCUAAACAAUCCUCCCAUGCUGAUUUGGCAUGCUUGUCUUUGAAAUUAUUUAAUUCCAUGGUUGAUACAAGUUUGUGAGCUUCAAUGGCUUGGUCCAAGGUAACCUUAAGUGCAAUAUCAUGGAAGGAAGAAGAAGAAUCUAGGGUUGAUAGUUUAUUUGUGGUGGUUCCAAUAUAAUGGUUGCACACAUGAGGGUAUGGAGUUUGAUUGCAUGACAAUUCUUUGCCAUGCACAAACAAGAGAGAGAAAAGAAGAAAGUAUGCAAUGCAAGAGUUGAAUAUGAGUUUAUACAUGUAUGCAAUAGUGUGCAUGGUGUAUCAAAAUAAUGAUUCUUUUAAAUAAUGAAAUGAUAUUUUUUCUUAUUAAAUAAUUUUUUUAAAAUAUAAAUAUUGGCAAAUAACUCUUUAUUUUAUACCUUCUCAAAAAAAAAAAAAAAGCUCUUUAUUUUAUACAAAAGUUCGUUAAUUUAUUGAUUCGGAAAAAAGGUAUCGAAGCACUUCAAUUUAUGAGUGUACUGUAGAAGAUCUUGAUAAUUUUAUUUUUUUGGUUAAGUAGUCUAAUAGUUAGAAUUCACCUUUAUAAGAUGUAUAAGUGAAGUGUUCAUAGUUCGAACCUCGACCCCUGUAUAUAACAAUGCAUUGUCUUUGCCAACUGAACUAUGCUUAUGGGGACAAUAAUGUUUUUUGUUUUUUUGGUUAGGUAGUUUAGUGGCUAGAAUUCACCUUAUAAGGUGAAUAAGUAGGGUGUCCGAGGUUCGAACCGCGGCCCCUACAUAUAAUAAUGUAUUGUCCUACUAACUGAGCUACGCUCACGGAAGAUUUUUUUUUUUUUAUAUGUCUGCAAUAUUGUUUGCCUAAUUGUUACCGUUUACAUAUAUUUGUUGAUCAAAUUAAAAGGAAUUAUGUUUGUAUUAUUUAUUUUUUGAAGGAAUUUGUAUUGUUUUUUGUUUAACAGCAAAAUAUUAGUUUUGUAGAUUUGUUUUUAAGAACAGUAGUUUUCUAUAGCAAAUUUAGUUGAAGCGGUUCAUGCUAAGCCAUCAAUUUUUGCAACUUAGUGCGUCUUAUGAUUUUUCUACCACAUAAAAUGUUAAUUUUUUUUUUUUGGAAACACAAAAAGGUAGGAAGCGAUCGUACGUAUAAUUUCCUCCACUAAUUUUUCUAUCACAAAAUGGACAAUUAUUUCUUCUUCCAAACUACCAAUUUUUUUAUUUUUUUUUAAACAUUCUUCCAAACUAGUAAUGAUGUAUGCCAAUAUUGUUAAUUAGGAACUUUUCAAUCGAGUUUUGUAACUUCUCAAUUUACUCAUCUCUAUUUCCCUAAACCUUUGGUUAUGUUCCUUGUAAAUUUAGGUACAUGUCGUAUCAAAUAUACUAUUGGCUAUAUUUUUCAUUUUUUUUUAUCACUAAAUGCUCCUUCUAUCUUUAAUUCUAAAACUUUUUCGAAAAUUUAUUUGUCCCUAUAAGACCUUCUGUAAAAUUCUACAUGUAUUUAUUACACUUUUUUAAAUAUAACCCUUGUAUACGUGCAUACCAUCAAUUCAUCUUGAAAUAUAUAAAAUUAACAUUAAUACAUGGACAAAUUUAUUACACAAACACUUCUUUUUAAUGUCAGUGAUUAUUGUUAAAAGUUCUUAUAAGAAGAGGCUCAUGGAGUAAGAGUUAAGCUGUUCUUUUAAAUUUCCAUUUUUUUAUACUUACUAGACUCUUGACACGUGCGGUUGCACGUGUCAUACCACGUAGAAGUUAAUCGAAUUGGUCGCAAAAAUGUAAACAUAUAUAAUUAAUAGAAGUUUUAUAACAAUUUAAAAUAUGUUCCCUUCUAAGACACCAUAGAUGAGGGACAUACAAUAAUUAGGUAAUUAAGUUGGUCAAAUCACUCUUAAUUGGUAGUAGCAAGGUGACGCCAUAGAUGAGAAAAUGAGAAAGAUUAGUAAUUUAUUUGGUUGUAGAUAGGCAAGUAACACUUAUGAGAGGAUCAUAGGGAUUUUGGAGGUUGAAGACAGAACCAUUCCAUUGACUUCUCACUUUGAUUGCACACAUUAUGACCUUUAAGGUAUAAAUUUGAAGUGAUAGAUUUUUGACGAAAAGGAAUUCAUAUAUAAAAAUUAAAGACUUUGUCACUUAAUGAUUUUCGAUUAACAAUGAUAAUUAUUAAUUUGUUGCAGAUUUUUGGAUUAUUAACAAUGACAUAUCAUUUAGUUGAAUUUUCGCAUAUCAUUAAACUCCAUAAAUAUUAAGUUGAAUUUUCGCAUAUCAUUAAGUUCCAUUAAGUCUUAACCUGAAGUUUCGAUUAGCAAUUAUAAGUAUUAAUGUUUGGAUUAUUCACAAUGACAUAUCAUUAAGUUUCUAUAAAUAUUUGAUAUAUUGACUUGUUAUAUGAAUGAUGUGAUUGAAGAAGGUUUUGUACUUACAACAAAUAUUUUAAAAAUGUUAUACUUGAUGAACAACUAAUGUAUGGAAAUAAAUCCAUUAUUUUAUGUUGACAGUAAAAUUUUGACAUGCUAAUAAUAUGACAUUAUAUUUAUUUGAAAAACUUUAGACUUUAGUAACUUCUAAAAAGUCACAGUACCUACAAAUUUUUACUCGUCGAGUCGAAACAACCACUUAAUUAUGUCUCGAAUAAUAUAUAUUAUCAGAGUUUUAGCCUAAUUGUAAAAUUCAAAUUGGAUUCUUGCCAUUGUUGACUUCUGAACAGAUCACACAUAUUACUGCAUAAAAUUAUCAAAUAGAACUUAAAACAGAAAACUUGAUUCUAGAAAUGGAGAAUAAUACUUAUACUCCAUAGAUGUUGUUUGGAUUACAAAACCAUCAACAAAAAAGAUGAAUUUUCAAACUAAAUAGAAAAACACAUAAAAGAAAGCAAUUAAAAAAGGUUCGUUGAUGAAUAUCACAUCUGCAGCAUAAAUGCCAAUAACCCCUUGAUAGCGUUUACGAAGAAUUCAUUGACUGCAAACUCAUUAUUUUUUUGUAGGUUCAACUUUCACAGGAACCAUUUUAGUUGGUUUGGUAAUAGAUUCCUCCCCGAUUUCUAUGACACCACGUCCAGCUGAAGUAUUACCAUCAGAAGAUCUUUUUGUUUCAGAUUUGGUUGACGGAGUUCCAAGUUUAUUAGAGUUGUUGCAAGAAACAUCUAAUGCAACCAAAUCCUAAAAAAAGAAUAAAGACAUGUUAUAAUUCUGCUUGCAAUAUGUUUAAAGGGCAUAAGAUCAAUUACUUUGCUUAUAAAUUUCUCACCAAAUUAUUGGCAUCACUUCCAAGCGCGGUCAUCUCCAAUUCCUUCUCAACAUCAUCACCAUCAAUAGAACCCUAUUAGAAAGAUAUUUUCUUCCGUGUCAAAAAUUUUAUACAUAGCGAGACACGUAAAACUCCAUACUGAUAUGAUUGUAUAAAAACAAUAUGCACAAAAAACACCUUGAGAUUAUAUUUGUUGAUGAAUUCAUCUAUGACUUCAACCUCAUCAGUACCCCUUUUCACACCAUAGUUCCUCCACUUCUGAAAUCAAGUCUUGGACAUUCCUUCCAAUAAAAUAGGUGACAAUACGAUCGAAGAGAACAAUUGUUGUCGAGCCAGUCUCAUCCAUCACAAUGAGAUGCAACUUGAACCUAUCAUGGAUUGAAUAAUGAUAUUAGUUAUAAGUGAGUUUGAUUAUUAGCGUUGCUAUGUUUCACGCAAAAAAGCAAGAUAUUUACCUUGGAAUGGCGCUUUUGCAUUCCUUGCAAGAUAGUUUUCCAUCAACCACGGUAACCAACGAUGCACAUUGUGUACAUGAAUGGAAAAACCAUUCCACACCAGUCUCAAUCUCGCAUACAGUCGCAAGUACUGUCCCAUGACAUGCCUAAUAUAAUGAGAUAUUACAAACUAUUAGAUUUCAAAACUUUAUUCUAUUUGUUGACACUAUUUUUCUAAAAUUAUAUUAUACAAUAUACUGCAAGUUAAUUGACAAUACAAAUCUCGCCUCAAUAAGAUCCUCAAUACUCACUCCGGAGGUAUCAAGCAACUCCUCAGCAACGAGACGUGCACUAUAUGAAGACAUGAGAGGAUAAUGAAAAAGUAAUCGUUAAUAUACAUGUAAGGUUAUGAGAUCUACGGCUGAGAUGUAGGGGGUGGUUGACUGGGUUGAUUAACAUUAAUACACGAAAUGUUAUGAGAUAUACAGCUGAGAUGAAGGGAGUGGUUGACUGAGUUGAUUAACAUUAAUACGUGUUUUCAAUUGCCAUUAUGAGGAUGAUUAACACUGUUUUCAAUUGCCAUUAUGACAUUUCUGUAUGAGAGAAAAAGUGAUGAGUUUGAAAAUAGAGUUUGAAUCAACGACUGUGAUUAAGUGUGUGGUUGGGAGAAUAAAUUAGUAAUAAUUGCAUGCUUAGGAGGGAAAAAUGCAAGGGAUUAAGGCAAACAUGCUAGCUCAUCAAGUCUAGCUUUUAUAAUAAAGGAAGGAUGAUAUCUACGGCUGAGACGUAGGGGAGUUGUUGACCGACUUGAUUAGCAUUAACUACGUCUUCAAUUGCAUUAAAAGUGUGUUAUUCAUUUUCAAUUAGCAUUAACUAAGUUAUAUGAGAGUAAAUGGGGAGUUUGAAAAUAGAGUUUGAAUCAACGAGUGUGAUCAAGUGUGAAAAUUGAGUUUAAAUCAACAAGUGAGAUUAGAUUAGCAAUAAAUACCUGUUUAUGAGAGAAAAAUGAUAGGGAUUAGGGUGAAUUAGGGCAAACAUGUUUACUAACCAAGUCUAGCUUUUAUAAUAAAGGAUAGUAUUUGAAAUAUUUCUCUCUGGAAUAAAUAGUCAAGAAUAUUUUAGAGAAAAAUAUACUCCUGUUUACACAUUCAAAAUUAAAAUGAAAAAUAACAAAAAAAAAAAAAAAAAAAACUUCUAAAAAAGACACACAAUGAAAAAGGAAUGAAUAGAAUAAUCAUUGAAUAGAGGCCAGUAGGCCACCAAACAAUAAAAAAGAAAACAAAGAAACAACAAGUGAUCAUGCACUAAAUUAUUAGUCCUCUUAACCGCACAUUACUCGUGAAGCUACAUGGCAAUGGUCUCAUGGACACACUACAGACGCACACAUACACCCUUGAUAAGGCAAUUUCAGAUAUGGUUGUUGGUGUACUUUGUUCAUGUUCAUGUGUAAAUGUGUAUAAUAAUGUGUAUACAUCUGUUAUAAGAUCUAUGAAACCACGUGUCCCUCAAGGGUUUGUUCUUAUCAAUUUUAUUUUUUUUAAAAGUAUAAAAUAAUUAAAUUUGUAUCCACGAUUUUCCAUACAUAUUACUAUCUUUUAAAAUUAGUGGGUCAAAUAAUUCAAUUGUUUUGAAUUAUAAAUAAAUAAAUUGAAGGUCUUAGGCUUAAACUUCAAUGAAAGAGUAAAUAUUAAUCUAAUAAAUUAACUAUUAAUAUUUAUCUAUAGUCUAAAAUUUAUUAUCUAAAUAUCUAUAUGCAUGUUUGAUUUGUUUAGCUUCUGAGCGCAAUGAUGGACUAUAAAUAGAUUUUUAGAUGGACUACAAAUAGCAACGAAAAAAGCGAUCAAUUUUUUAAUAUUUCAUAUUUUACUCUAAAUUAACUCAAUUUUUUUUAAAAAAAAAUUCGUUUUCGAAUCUCUUCUCCCUCCUUCCUCUUAUUUCCUCACUCAAAAAUCACAAAUAAACAUACUGUGAGCCUAGAUCUACCAUAGAUAAAAACGAUACUACCUUUUCACUUUUUUGGGAUUGGAUUUGAUUGGGCUGAGACCGAUUUGGUGUGUUACGACCUUGUGCAUGGCAGUGACGGUUUAGGUUUGUUUGGUUGUUGGUGUGUGAUUGGUAUGGUUCAGAUUGGAUUUUGUUGUGGCAGGUUCUCUAAUUUGUGCUGGAUUUUUUCGUGUUGUAAAUUGGUUGUGGUUUUGAAGGUUUAUGGUGUUGUUUUCCGAUCUGAAAUUGGCUUGGCGUGAUGAGAUUUUCGUGUUACUGGUUUCUUCUUGGUUUGUGCGUGUGUGAACUGUUUGUUCUUUGUGAAUUUGAUUGGUGUUAUUUUGGAAUGGUUUGGAUUGAUUGUUUGGUUCGACUAAGACUGUGAUUUGGGAAUUGUAUGUUUGUUUGUACCACUGCCUUUGGUUGAUCUGUUUUGCUGGUUGAUGAAUUUGUGCCUGUGUUUAUGUUUGUGGUAUUCGACUGAUGAAAAUGUUUGGUUGAGACUGUGCGUGUAUCGCAGGUUUGUGUGUUACAGUGGGUAUGAAACUGUGGUGGUGAUGAAGUGCGGUGUUUGCGGUGGUUUUGUGAUGGUAACAUGGUUGUGGAAGGCGGAUGUUUGGUGAUGGCGAUAUGGUGGCUUAAAGUGGUAUUUUUGUGGUGGUUUUAAGGUGGUUAUUUGCUAGGUAGUGAUGGUUCACGGGUGGGUCGGUGGUGGUGGUUUGUCGUGGUUGUUUGGGUGUGGUUUGGAUGGUAUCGUGGUCGAAAUUUUGGACUCGUAUCUGAUGUCGGGGAGCUGAUCAAGAGGGGGUUUAUAUAGGUGUGUAUGUUGGUUUUCGUGGUAGACUUCAUGGUGGUGUGGUGUGAUGGUGGUGGCUGAUUUGAUCCAAUGGUCCCUCAAAUAGUUGUUGAUGAUUCACUAUAUGAUACAAUAAACCUCGUGAUCAAACGGUUCGUGUUUUAAUAAAUAGAUCAAAUGGUUUAAAUUAAAAAAAUUAAUAAGAUUUAUGGUGGAUCAUUUUUAAUGUUGUUCCACCAUAGACAUCAUUUGGGGUUAAACUUAACUGUAGGGAUUUAUUUGGCAAACGGAGGAAAAAUUGAGGCACCAAAAGAUACGUUUUAUUAAUUGUGGGACCAAAAUAAAAAUUUGAAAUUAUUUGAGGGACCAUUGGAUCAAAUAAGCCUUUUUUUUUUAGAUUCCACCCUUGAAAAAUGAAAAUUCUUGAGGAUUGGCCCCUCACCCCAAUGUGUCAGCAGAAUCUCCUACGUGAUGUGUCAAUUUCUUUUUUUUUUUAAUUUUUUUUCAUGCCACGCGUGUAAAUGUAUGCCACAUCAUUUAUAAUUUAAAAAAACGUGAAAUUUAAAAACGAAAAAAAAAUCUUAAAAAAUUAAAACAAAAACCUAGAAAUUUUAUGAAAAAAUUUAAAAAAUCUGGUAAAAAGAAAAAUAAUGAAAAAAUUCAGAAAAAAUUAAUAAAAAAAAAAAAAAUUGGAAAAGAUUAAUAUAUAUCAAAAUUUUCUAAAAAUUAAUAUAUUUAGAAAAAAAAUCAAAUUCCAAGAUUUUUUUCAAUUCCGGUAAAAUUAAAAAAUUCUAGAAAAAAUUCAUAUUUUUAUUUUCAAAAGUAAGAAGUUUUAUUUAAAUCUUUUCCAUAAUUUUUUUCGAAAAUUUGUGUUUUUAAAUAUGAUAUUCUGGAAAAAAAAAUCGAAAAUUUCAAUAUAUAUUAAUCUUUUCCACAAAUUUUUUUCAUUAUUUUUUAUUUUAGUUGAUUUUUUUAAUCAUUAAUAAUUUUUUUUUCAGUAUUUUUAAUAUUUUUUUAAGUUUUUUUCAUUUUUUAUUUAAAAAAUUCACAAAUGCCACGUGUACCUAGAAUUAUAUAUAUAUUUUUAAUUAUAAAUGAUGUGGCGUCCAUUUACACGCGUGGCAUGAUAAAAAAAAUUGACAUGUCACUACCACGUAGGAGAUUCUGCUGACACAUUGAGGUGAGGUGUCAAUCCUAAAGAAUUUUCAUUUUCCAAGGAUGGAAUCUAAAAAAGAAAAUUACAGGGACUAAAACCAAAAGUGCACUAUAUUACAGGGAUCAAAAACGUUAUUAACCCUACAAGUUAUUAUUAUAUUACUCUUAUAAUACUCUUUUAAUUAUAAUUAAAAUGCUCAUAGUCUUAGUCAUAGGACAAACCUCCAACUACCAUGGAAAAAGGGAGAAUGAAAAAUUGCGAAUGGCAGACUUCCCCGCCAAUGAGCUUAGGAGUAACCUUAACCACAUAUUUUAUUUUAUAUACUUGUUGACUUGAUCCAAAAUAGAUGGAAUAGCAAAUUAGUUUUUUUGUUUUUGUUUUUGGAAGUCAUACAUAGAUCAUCUUAGAUGGCAUGUACCACUUAUACCCUACAAAUUGUGAUAUGUUUUUCACACAUUCAUAUAAGGGUGGUACAUUGGAUGACAUUAAUGCAUUUUAGAUGAAAGAGAGUGAUGAAUAAAUAAUUAAAAUAAAUUAUUUAGAUAAUGAUUGAUUAAGAGAGAUAUAAACAAUUUAUAUAAGAAAAAAAGACUUAUGAACAAUGUCAUCAUCGCCACCAAAAACUAUAUCAUCCAAAUGUUAUUUAAAAGAUACACUCCAAGAUCUCAAAUUAACACCAAAAUCAAGACAAGUGGGUUUAAAAGUAAAGUGCUCCUUACAUAAAAUUUUAAGCAUGCACUUUUCAUAAAGUGGAAAACAAAACAAUUUUGUUAUGCAUUCUCAACCAUUCAAUUUUAAAUGUUACAUCAUUUUAGUUAAUUCAUGCUUACGUAAGCUAGCGAGCUCUUAGACAAUUUUGUUAUGCAUUCUCAACCAUUCAAUUUUAAAUGUUACAUCAUUUUAGUUAAUUCAUGCUUACGUAAGCUAGCGAGCUCUUAGACAAAAGCAAUAAUAUUCUUAUUUUUAGUUUUGUAGUUGUAUUUUUGGUACAAUUAAUAUUUUCUUAGUUCUAAUAAGCAAUAAUGUUUUGGGAGACCCUAAUAUGGAUAUCAAUUUAAAGGGACCAUUGGUGAACCUCACAAAGUGACUUAUUAUAGCCGGUCAUUUUUUUUUUUUUACUGUAAUCAAAUUAACUCUCUUACUCUUCUCUAUCCCCUCUUAUAUGCUUCAAUUGUUUCUUCACCAACGUCAUUUUUGGCUCCACCACUCCAUUCCCUUCCCCAAUCCUCUCUCUUCUUUCAUAUUUCAUUUUCAUCUUUACAAACCACAAAGUUUAGUAUUAUUAUUUGAUGUUGUUUGCCUUUUUAAAGCCUCCAAACAAAAAUUGAAUCAGAGGGGAUCUCUGAGGUGAUUGUAGUUUUUGUAGUUGUGGUUGAAAUUUGAAGCUUUUGGGUGAAGGGAGUUAAAGGGACAAAUGUGACAUUGUGGUUGUUUGUUGUUGUUGACGACAAAAUAGCCCAACAAAUUACUAGUACUCUCCUAGAGACAAAUCUAAUUAGAAACACUCACACAAAUGAAGAGGAUUGACCCAUUCACUAAGAGUGACGUGUAUAAAGGAAUGGGCAAAAUAGGACGGUGUUCAUAAUCACAAAGGGUAAUCCGAGUAAUUAGGAAACGAAUCGACAAUGGACAGAUUGAAGGUGGAUAGUUGAGCUUUGAGGUUUGUUCACCAGCAUAGACUUUGACAUGAACCAGAGAGAAGAGAUGUAAAGAGAGAAGAUGAAAUUAAAUCCAGUAAUUAAACCUCAAAACAAAAUAUAAAAGAUAGUGACCGACUAUAGUAAGUAAGUAACAAAGGUUCACCAAUGAUCCCUUUAAAUUGAGGUCCAUAUUAAGGGCUCCUUAAUGUUUUACCUUAAAUUAUUUUGAAAGGAAAGGGGCAGCAUAAGCGGUUCAAAUGAAAAAAAGCAAAGUAUGAUUAAGACUUGCUAACAAAAUUUCUGCAUUCACUUCAUAUAUGCUAAAUCAUCAUUUGUUAUCAUAAUCCAAGCUUCCAUACAUAACCACAAAUCCAUAACCCUUUGUCGAUAUAUGUCUCCUCUCGUUUUCUAUAGUUUUGGUGCUACUCGUCUAGUAUGUUUUGAAACAUAAUAUUCAGUCAUGAAUAAAGCACUUUAUAGACCCAAGGUAAUUGUUUUACGAAGAAAAAUAUUUAGGUGGUGUACUGGAUUAGGAUCGUAAGGGAUUUUAAAACAAUUUAUUUGAUUUUUUUUUUUGUAUUAUUUAAUUAAAACUUUUAUAGAUAUACAUAAUAUUAGUAGCAUUCAAUUAAAAUUAACAAGAUUUUUUUUAAAAGGACCAUAAAAGCCGGAAGUAUUUCAAUUGAGAUUUUUUACAAUUUAAAACAAGAUUUUUGCUAUUUAAAAGUUUACAAAUGUUGAUGGAUGAAUUGUUUAAUGAGUGAAUAAACAAAUCACACUCCUUGAAAUUGUAACUUCACUCAAAUAUGCCCACCUAAAAUAAAUGAAAUGACAAAAGAAAAUAUUGAAAUUGAUAAGCAUCUUUCAUUUAAGUUCCUCUAUUAGUUUUCAUUGUUUAAGGGUAUGACGUAACCAUUAACUGUUCACUUGAAGGUUAUGUAUUUUGAAGGUUAUGUCACGCAAUAAGGGGCAUUUGUAUAUUGUUUGGAGAAAAAAAAAAGCUUGAUUACAUUUUUCCAACGUUAACAUAACUUUACCAACCUUGAAAUAAGAAACUUUCACACGUCAAAUUUAACACUUAUGUGCAAAUUGCAAUCUAAAAUUUACAGAGGUAGAAGGGGGGACCAACACAGACCACAGUCCUCCCAAUUAUUAUUUUUAUGUUAGUAUGCUAUUUUUUCUAGUCUUUAUAUUUACUUUUUGUGAAAUUUAUAAAGAUAUUAUACUUGGUCUUUUUUACUCAACAUAUUGAGUCUUAAACACUUAAUGUUUUUGCUUUUUUUUUUUUGUGUGUAAAUAAAAUGAUAAACAAGGACAGGAACUUCGAAACUAAAUAAAACAUCUUCAGAUGAACAUACGGACUAAAACUUGACAUGACAACCACUUGAUUAAAUUACCAAAAAAAUAUGUGGACAACAAAAACCUUACGAUAUAUGACAUAACACCUUAACUUGAGACAAAAAAAGGAUGAAAACCAUGUAAAACACUAGCACCAUUUUCAAUCAUUUUAAUGGCGAAGAAAAUCUAUUUGUGUAAUAACUUAAUGAAAUCCAUAUAUGGAGAAGAAAAUACCAUGUUAAUUAAAUGCCCUAUAAAAGCCUUUAAACAAAGAAAAAUAUACAACAAGCAUGCAAGUUAAUUUAUAAUUAGAAUAUGUUGGUUCUUUUUAUAUUAAUAUUUGAGAUUAUUAACUUUAAACGUAAACAUAUAUUAUAAAUUAGAGUCAUGUUUAUUAUUUAUUACAAAACAAUAAUACUUUAUGUUCAUUAAUAUAAUCCAUCCGUCCCAAAAUAUAAACAAAAAUGGACCAACAUAAGUUGAUAUAUAUCUGUAUAAAUUUUGAGUUAAAUACAUUAAUUUUUGUUGAUCAAUUUUUACUUAUAUUUUAGAAUGAAAGAAGUAUAUAGUUAACAUUUUCCUAUAAAUUAUAAUAAUUUAUAUCUGGUUUAGUAUUAAUUCCGAAAUUGACCAAGUCAACUAUUUUAUAAAAUAAAAUAUGCGGGCAAAGUUACGUUACUCCUAAGCUUAUUGGCGGGGAAGUCUGCCACUUUAAUCUGUUCACUUUUCAUCAUCCAUCCCUUUUCCCAUGGUAGUUGGAGUCGUCUUUGUUUGUCAUACGACUAAGACUGUAUGACAUUUUUAAUAUAAUUAUAAUGAUAUGAUAAUAAUAAUAAAAGUAGUGAUACAUACACCACCUUAGAUGGCAUGUAUCAUUUGUACAUCCACACGUAAUUGUGACAUGUGCCCACGUGAUUCCCACACACAAAAAACUCAUAUUUAAUAUCUCUCAUACACUCUCACAUAGGAUGGUACAAUGUAUAUAUGAAGAAAAAAAAGCGUACAUGAAACAUUAUCGUAAUAAUAAUAAUCAUCAACUACUUACAUCAACUACGUACAUGAAAUUUGUGGACAAUCGAUAGACACGUGUGAAAUAUUAUUAUAUACAUAUUCAUAUCAUAAUUUUAUAAAAAGUUUGUAUACAUAUUCAUAUAAUAAUUUUUAAAAACAAUUUGCUAAGAACAAACCCUUGAGGGGCACGUUUCAAUUUAUAAGUAUUAUACAAGAUGUAUACACAUGAAACAUGAACAAGUACACAACACAUGAUGUACAAACAACCAUAUCUUAAAUUGCCUAAUUGAGGGUGAGAGUGUGUAUGUGUUGCUCUAUAGUGUGUCCAAAACCAUGUAGAUAUUUGUUGGUAACCUAAUAUAAUCACUUUUUUAUGGUUUUGGUUUAGAUGAAAAAAGCAAAAUGAUAUCACAAUCAAACCCUAAAGCUUCACGAGUCAUAUCUGGGUUUUUGGAGAGCUAAAUGUAUGGCUGAGCUACAAAGUGAAGCUAUGGUGUAGCCGAUUAAUUAUUGCAUGAUCACUUUGGUCUUUCUUUUUUAGCUCUUAUACAUGAACCAUCUUAGGUGGCAUACACCCUUUUACACCCACACACAUUUGUAACACGUGGAAAAAACAUUGAAAGAAGAGAUGAAAAAGGGUGAUGAUAUAAUGUAAAAUUACUCAAAUACCCCUAAUACAUGGGGGUGUACAUAAGAAGUGUAUGAAAAAGGGUGUCUACCUAUAAAUAUAAGCAAAAUUGAUUUUUUAGGUUCAUUAAUUUAAUGAUGCAUGUGGUCCAUACAUACAUCGUUAAAUGAAUGAACCUAAAAAGCCAAUUUUGCUUAUAUUUAAAAACGGAGGUAGUACAUGUUCCCCCUUAUUUUUUAUUUAUUUGCAAAAAAAUGAUAAAAUAUAGACAAAUUACUAUAUUGGAAUUGACAUCUACCUAGAUUUCCCAAUGAACCUAACAUUACUUAAAAAGAACUAAUUACCAAGGUUUUGGGAAUAUAGGUGGGUAAAUUUGAGAAGUUCCUAACAAGAUUCCCAUCAAGGAUAUCGGACGAAAAUCGUUUAACCUCUAAGGAUUAUCCACCUUCGGAAUAAGAACGAUGAAAGUAGCAUUAAUACCUUUAGCCGACUUACCAUUUCUAUGAAACUCAGAAACGAACCUCAUCACAUCAACUUUCAGCUCAUUCCAGAAUUCUUUUAUAAAACCAAAACUGACUCCAUCCGGACCUGGACUUUUAAAGCUAUCACAGUCCCAAAUUGCUUUACUAGGUAAAUGGUGUUGGAGGAUGUUAGUUGAUAGAGAAGGGUUGUGGUAUCAGGUUUUAGUCGCCCGUUAUGGCGAAGUAGGUGGGAGGUUGGAGGUGGGGGGUCGGAGUGUUUCUUUGUGGUGGCGGGAGGUAGGUAGGAUUCGUGAUGGCGUUGGUGACACAGGUGGAGGGUGGUUCGGUGAUAGUGUUAGACGGAGGGUGGGAGAUGGUACGACGAUGUUGUUCUGGUCGCAUAGGUGGAUUGGAGGUACUCCGCUUUGUGUGCGGUUUCCCCGCUUGUUUGACUUAGCAGAGAAUAAAACCAUUACGGUGGCAUCUUUGUUCUCUUUGGGUACAGAGCAGGAUGGGGAGGGGUGGAGGUGGAGGCGUAGAUUGUGGGCUUGGGAUGAGCUUUUACUAGAGGAGUGUAGGGCGUUACUAUUUGAUAUCUCUUUGGUUCCUAAUGUUUCAGAUUUUUGGGAGUGGCUUCCAGAUACUGCAGAGGGGUACUCUGUGAGAGGUGCCUAUGAUUUGUUGACGAUUGGGGAUGAUUCUCAGAUGGGAUUACCCUUUGAGUUAGUGUGGCAUCCGCAGGUUCCUUUGAAGGUUUCAGUUUUUGCGUGGCGGCUUAUCCGAGAUUGUUUACCAACGAAAGCUAAUCUGGCAAUUCGUGGUGUUGUCCCCGCGGAUGAUAUCUUAUGUGUUUCUGGUUGUGGUCACGUGGAGACAGCCGGUCAUUUAUUUUUAUCUUGUACUACAUUUGCAUCUUUGUGGCAGCAGAUGCGUGAUUGGAUUGGUUUUUCAGGAGUGGACCCUAACAUCAUUUCAGACCAUCUGGUGCAGUUUACUCAUUUGACAGGUGUUGGUAAAGCAAAAAGAUCAUUCUUGCAGCUUAUUUGGCUGUUGUGUGCUUGGGUUUUGUGGAGUGAGCGUAACAACCGUCUUUUCAAUAAUUCUUUUAAUAGUGUCCCUCAAUUGUUAGAUAAGGUUAAAUUGUUAUCUUUGGGGUGGUUGAAAGCUAAAAAGGUUGUGUUUGUUUAUGGUACGCAGAGAUGGUGGUCCGACCCUUUUGCUUGUUUGGGGUUGACUACCUAGUGUAAACCUCUGUUUGUUGUUACUUAAACUCUUGUAUUUUUAGUGGUAUCCUAGGCACACCUUAUGUUUGGAUAUUGCUGUUUGGUGUGUUAUAUAAUUUUAUUUUGAUUUCUUAAAAAAAAAAUAGCUUAGUUUGAAACAAAUUAAAUCUUAUCCAUUUUGAGAGAAAAGAUUAGUGGAACAAAUUACACGCACGAUCAAAAUCAACAAGAGUGGGAGCCAACGUUUGUAUGAAAGCAUUAUGCCAUUAUCCAAUCAAUUGUUAUUAAUUUAGUUGAUUAAUGUCUUUAAAAGCCAUUAUUUUUUUGACAAAUGCAAAGGCCAUCAUUAAAAUUGUUUUAUUGCAUUUGCAUCCGUCACUUUCUUCUCACCUUUUGAAACCUUAUGUGGCACGAAAUUCUCAAAAAAGAAAAAGUACAUUUUACGUGGCAAAAUAAUCAUGAUACGCUCUAAGUUGCAAAAAUUCGUGGCUUAGCUUGGUGCUUCAACUAAAUUUGUUCUAGAAAAAUAACGUUAAAGAAAAUUGUAGAAAACUAUACUAAUAUUAUGCUGUUAAUUUUUGUUACGAAUAUAACUUAGUAUAGAUUCUUUUUCUAUAAUCUGAUUAAUUUUAAUUUGACGAAUAAGUAUAUGAAAAUGUUAACAAGUAAUCAAAGACAAUAAAAAUGUCUUGGUAUUUUUUUUUUUUUUUGGUGGCCGAGGUUUGAACCCGGACCUUGCAUAUAUUAUGCAUUGUUCUAAUCAACUGAGCUUAACUCACGAGGACUAUUAGUUGUUUCGUCAACCUUUCAAAUGUUUUAAAAAUUCUAUAUUCUUUUUAUUUUUAAUAUAAGGUCUUUGAAGAGUUUUAAAUUUUCUCUCUAUAUUUCUCCUCUCUAUUACUAGUUUUAAAAUGGAUCAAGUAAUCGUGCUCUAUGAUUAAUAAACCUCACUCAAAAAUAUAUUAUUUAUGAGAAUUUAAGUUUGAUUUCUGUGUCGAAUAAUUACUGGUCAGAUUUUAUAUACAUUCUCUAAAUUAUCGACACCCUUUACUCUUAAGAACCAAGGGUUAAGAUAAGAAAUUAAUUAAAGUGUAUGUUACAUAGUUAAACCCACCAAAUAUCAUAUUAUUACACUUAUAUUCUCAAAAUUUUGAUAAUAAAAUGGAAAGGAUAAAAAAUAGAAAGAUCCUUGACUCCCAUGCUUAGGACAAUUGUGAGGGUAACUCAUAAAUAUAUGUAAGUAAACGCCAAUUACAUUGUAAACGUAAUAUUGCAGUGUAUGUCACGUAAACUUUGAGCAUGGCCCAUCAAAUUAGACGAUCAAUAACUUUGGGAAAUGUUAGUACAUCAAACCUUACAUAUAAUAUAAUAUGACUAUUUCCUCACUAAGCUUCAAUAAUCAACACCCACAUAUUAGUAUACCUUUAUGGCCUACCAAAGCCAAAUCUCUUGACCUAUAUAUACCUCCAUUCCUUUGCACUUAAUUUCAUUCAUAAGCAAAUACAUUCCUAAAUAUCAAAUCCUCUCUUGUUAGUUCCUAUACACCUAACUCCCUCGUGUAAUAUUACAGAAAAAUAUUUUGAUACACCAUGCACACUAUUGCAUACAUGUAUAAACUCAUAUUCAACUCUUGCAUUGCAUACUUUCUUCUUUUCUCUCUCUUGUUUGUGCAUGGCAAAGAAUUGUCAUGCAAUCAAACUCCAUACCCUCAUGUGUGCAACCAUUAUAUUGGAACCACCACAAAUAAACUAUCAACCCUAGAUUCUUCUUCUUCCUUCCAUGAUAUUGUACUUAAGGUUACCUUGGACCAAGCCAUUGAAGCUCACAAACUUGUAUCAACCAUGGAAUUAAAUAAUUUCAAAGACAAGCAUGCCAAAUCAGCAUGGGAGGAUUGUUUAGAGCUUUAUGAGGAUACAAUAUAUCAACUCAAACGCUCAAUAAACUCAAACAACCUAAAUGAUAAAUUAACUUGGCAAAGUGCUUCCAUUACCAAUCAUCAAACUUGCCAAAAUGGUUUCAUUGAUUUCAACCUUCCAUCUCACUUAAAUUAUUUCCCAUCCAUGUUAAGCAACUUCACUAAAUUGCUUAGCAAUUCUUUGUCCAUUAGCAACACUCUAACUUCAUCACAAUCAUCCUCAUCCUCAUCAUCAAGUACUAAGCAAAACGGAGGGAGAAGGUUGUUAUCAGAUGGAUUUNUCCAUUAGCAACACUCUAACUUCAUCACAAUCAUCCUCAUCCUCAUCAUCAAGUACUAAGCAAAACGGAGGGAGAAGGUUGUUAUCAGAUGGAUUUCCAUAUUGGCUUUCAGGGUCAGAUAGAAAGCUUCUUCAGGCAACACCGGGUUCAGGGACAGGACCAAGAGCUGAUAUUGUGGUUGCACAAGAUGGAAGUGGGAACUAUAAGACAAUAUCUGACGGUGUGGCUGCAGCUGCUAAGCUUAGUGGGAAAGGGAGAGUGGUUAUUCAUCUGAAAGCAGGUGUUUAUAAAGAGAAUAUCGAUAUCAAAAGGACAAUGUCAAAUUUAAUGAUAUUUGGAGAUGGAAUGGAUUCUACUAUUGUUACUGGUAAUCAAAAUGCUAUAGAUGGUUCUACCACAUUUCGUUCAGCUACUUUCGGUAAGUUCUUCAAUAGUUAAUCACUCAUUUAUAUAGAUUAUUGUGUGAGAAUAUAUUAUGAUUUUUUGCUAUAUAUGCAUGGGAUAAAUCAUAUGUGGAAUAGUAACAAUGAUAAUAAUAUAAAAACACUUUGGAUUAACUGAACACCAUAAAUAUUCAUUUUGGCACCAUUAGGAUUAGGAUAGAGACAUAUAUGCACUACUUACUUUGUAUAAAUAGUGUUACGUACCGAUGAGUAGUGAUAUUUGAACAAUCAUUUUUGACAAUUAUCAUGAUAACUUCCUUUUCCUCUCUUUCUAUUGGUCAAAAAUAAUGGAAAGAGAAAAGGGAAGAGAGGGAAUAAAAACAUAAUGUAAGUAUGAAAAAGAGAGUUGUCAAAAAGGUUGUCAUAAAAUGAUUUUACAAAUAUCAUUUCUCUAUAAUAUAUUCUAUUGAGAAAAUUUUCAUUUUGUUAUCAAAGAUUAAUUAACAAAAAAGUACAAAGAUUUUAAAUAUAUUUAUCUUUUUUUUUUUUGUGGUGCCAGGUUCGAACUCCAGCAUAUAUUAUGUAUUGUCCUUACCAUAUAUACUCACGAGGACAAAUAUAUUUUAUCUCUCAAAACCUGAUAAUAUUUCCAAACUAAUCUCUUUUAUUUAAUUACUUUUCUACUUUCUCACAAAAGGCACUUUUUGUUAUUUUUUUUAUACUUGUUGAUUAAGACAUGUUCAAACGAAAAAUAAAAAUUUAAUUAAGAUAUGAUAAUACUCCUUCCGCUCUAUAUUUAAGCACAUUUUUAUUAGAGGCAAACGAUACUUACAUAUAGAAACGGAUGAAGUAUAAAUUAUAAAACUCUAAUAACUAACCAUCUAAUCACAACAAUAAAAUAUUAAUAUUACUCAACAUACACUUUUUACAUCAGUCUCACAAAAAACGGUAUCUAUGAUGUUUUUACUUUAUAUCGUGUGAAAAUAUUUUAUCGAUAUGAAACGAUAACUUUUCAAAGAAAAUACAAUGCAUUGUAAUGGUAAAUUUCUUUUACGGUAAAUUAGAGCCAAUCAUUUGUACGACUAGAUGAAUAUAAAUUGUUCUUGUGAACUUAGCCCAGUUGGUAUGUACAAUGCAUAAAAAUAUGCAAGGUCGGGGUUCAAACCACGACCAUAAAAAAAAAAAAAAAGUAUAUAAAUUAAAUCCAAAGUUCUAACAAUGAAAUAAAUAAUUACUGCAGCUGUUAUGGGAGAUGGUUUCAUAGCUAAGGACAUGACCUUUGAGAAUACAGCAGGACCCCAAAAACACCAAGCAGUGGCUCUCCGUUCCGGUGCCGAUCACUCUGUUUUCUACCGUUGCGCCUUCAAAGGCUUCCAAGACACUUUAUAUGUUUACGCCAACCGUCAAUUCUACCGUGACUGCAACAUCUAUGGAACAAUCGAUUUCAUCUUCGGUAACGCCGUUACUGUCCUUCAAAACUGCAACAUCUUUGUCAGAAAACCAAUGAGCAACCAACAGAACACCGUAACAGCACAAGGAAGAACAGAUCCAAAUGAAAACACUGGAAUUGUAAUACAUAACUGCCGUAUAACCGCAUCAAGUGAUUUGAAAGCGAUUCAGAAUUCAGUUAAAACAUAUCUUGGUAGACCAUGGCAGAAAUAUUCAAGAACGGUUGUUAUGAAAAGUAAUCUUGAUGGUUUGAUAAAUUCAGAAGGUUGGGCUCCAUGGAUGGGUGGUUUUGCUUUGAGUACACUUUAUUAUGGCGAAUAUAUGAAUGUUGGUGGUGGUGCUAAUACUGAUGGAAGAGUUAAAUGGCCUGGUUUUCAUGUUAUUACUAAUCCUUCUGAUGCAGUUAAAUUUUCUGUUGGUAAUUUUUUGGCUGGUGAUUCUUGGAUUUCUGGUAGUGGUGUGCCGUUUGAUGCAGGUUUGUGAAUAUUGAUUGAAUCAUUCAAAGAAAGUGAGAUGAUGUAUAGUGGAGAAGACUUGAAAUGAUGACUUUGGUGAAAGCAUGAUGGUGAUAAUUGAAAUCUAUAAAGAUAGAGAAAUUAUUGUCAUUUAGUUUUUGUUGGGUUUUUCCUUGUACAAAGGUUACAUAUAAGAUACUGUACUUUAGGGAAAUUAUUGCACAAACGUCAACCGUAGAUAAAUAGAUAGAUAAAAAUAAGUCACCAUUAUACCCAUGGAAAGAAAAUGUACCAAAACAAAAGGUUGUAAAGAAAAAAAUAAGUGUUGUAAAUAAAUAGAUGCUGUACUUUCAAUAAAGUUGUAAAGAAAAUGUACCAAAACAAAAGGUUGUAAAGAAAAAAAUAGGGCGACAAUUAGAGUAUCCAUGGAAGAAUGGUGGGUAAUUUACCCCAACCAAUACACAUUAGUCACAUAAGCACAUUUUUAAGUGGUAUCCAUGAACUAUCUUGAUCCCACCAACAAAUUGCUCAUUUUUAUUGGUUGGUGAGUAAAUUAUUCAUCAUUCUUCAAAGGUAAUCUAGAAAAAAACAAAAAAUAGUGGUAAUUAGUUUCUUCCUCCUUUAUUACAGAACUUAACUGUAUAUAUGUACGUAUACAUAUAUGUAUAAAAGUCUUUCUGUUUCCACUUGCAUAUAUAUUGGAUGUUUUUUAUAUUGCACUGUAGGUCCCACUAUUUUUUUAUUUUUUUAAAUAUCUUAAAUAUGUCCAUGCUUAUAUUAUCCUUCUCUCCUCUUUUUUUAUGUUAAUCUAUACAUUAAAUUAAUUAUCUUCUUAAGCAAAGAAAAACAAGAGCAUAAUUUUUUUUCUUCAAGUAGUCAAGUAACUAGAGCUCACACAAUUAAAUAUGGAGAAGUGGGGUGUCCGAAGUUCGAACCCUUACCCUACAUAUAACAUGCAAUAUCUCUACCAACUGAGCUAAACUCAUGGAGAUCAAAGCAUAAUUUUUAUUACAAGAAAGAAAUAAUGAAUUGAAAUGGACCCGCUUAAUUAUGAUUUCCAUAAUUAUUUUUUACUAUUAUGAACAAAACAUGUUUAGAUUUAUCUAAUUUUUCUGUUUGAAGGAAGACAUGCGUUAAUUUAAAGUUGCAUGGAAUAAUGAAUGGUCAUAUUGAUAUAAACACCUGAUCACAUGUAAGAUUAAAGGAUAUGUUAACGUAGAAUGAAAUAAAAAUGUCAUUUCGUAAUCUAGUACUUGACAGUUAAUUAAAAUGAUUGCCCUAAAAAAGGUUAAUUAACAUGAUUAUUGAUUAAUUAAUAAGGACUGGUGAGAAAGCUACCUUACAUGGUCGUUUAAUUAGCUAUAUUAGUACAUAUAAACACAAUUAGACAAUGGUCCUUUUGUUGAUUUUUUUUUUUUUUUGAAAGAAGUCCUAUUGUUGAUGUUAAUAUUCUAAUUGUAAUUUGUGAUAGAUACAUUAACCAAUAAACAGAAGUCAGAAGACUCUAAUUGAUUUGGAUUAAUUUGAUGUGAAAGCACAGCUCAUGCUAAUUAAGUCAGAUGUCAUUUUCUUUAUGGAUUGCUUUUUCUAUUUCUGGUCACUGUUUAUCAGCCGCCUGCAGCAAGUUGUAACUAGCAUGCAUCUCGUUUUCUAAUAAUUAUGUUUAAUUAGUACGAUAAUUAAUCAUGGUUAUUGAAAAGCAAAGGAAAAUGAAGGCAAUUAAUAAAGCGUAAUUUGAACUUGAAAGCUUGGUUAACAAACUGACCCACCUAUCAUUUCAAUAGAAUUUCUUAUUUAUUUCGAUAUAUUCUUUUUUUUUUUUUUUUAAGAAGAAGAAGAAUAUAUUUUUCUUUUCUAGAAGCGGUGUCUAAAUUUUUUUAGGGUUAAUUAAGAUUUUGGUCCCUAUAAAUAUCUACAAUUUUGUUUUUAGUCCCUAUAAAAAUAAAUCAUACUUUUUAGUCCCUAUAAAAUUUUCUGCUAGUGUUUUUAGUCCCUGUUAAAUUAAAAUUUGUUUAAUUAUGCUUAAACUUCUAAAUUGUUGAAAGAUUUUUUACAUACAUGCUCAUAACAUCGUAAGACACUCUUUUGUAAAAAUUUUUAGUUUUUUUAACAUGUAAUGAAUUAAAUAUGAAUUUUUCUAAAAGUCAAAUUUUCAAGAUUAUAUUAAUGAAAAUUUGGACCUAAUAAUAAAAUUUUAAGUUACUUUUUUGCGGAGGAACUUUGUAUAAUAUUCUAAGUAAGUAUGUGAAAAAUAUGUUACAAAUUUAAAAGUUUAAGCACAAUUAAGCAAAUUUUAAUUUUACAAGGACUAAAAGUACUUGUCAAAAAAAAAAACAAGGACUAAAAGUAUGUGUUGGUCUCUGUUAAAUUGAAAUUUGUUUAAUUAUACUUAAACUUUUAUAUUUUUAACAGACAUGCUAAGAACAUUAUAAUAAUCUCUUUUAUAAAAAAAUUAGAAUUUUUUAACAUGUAAUGAAUUAAAUAUAAUUUUUUUAAAACGCCAAAAAUUCAAGAUAAAACUAACAAAAAUUUGCACCUAAAAAUAAAAUUUUGAGCUAAUUUAUUGUGGCGGAACCUUUUAUAAUGUUUUAAACAAGUAUGUAAAAAAUCAUUAAAAAUUUAAAAUUUUAAGCAUAAUUAAACAAAUUUUAAUUUAACAGGGACAAAAAACACUAACGGAAAAUUUUAUAGGGACUAAAAAGUGUGAUUUAUUUUUAUAAGGACUAAAAAAAAAACUGCAGAUAUUUAUAGGGACUAAAAACUUAAUUAACCCAUUUUUUUAUACAUAUAAUCAUACAACCAAAUUACCUCAUGACAUCACUUACUUUUUAAGUUGUUAAUCUCUUAAAAGAGAAAUGAUAUUUGAACAACUACUUUUCGAUAACUUUGUGACAAUUUUCUCUCUCAUACACACAUUGUUCUUCUACUUUCUCUCUCUAUUGCUUUGAUUUUUGUGUCACUACCUAAAUUUCUUUGUAUAAUGUGGUUGUCCAAAAAGUUGUCACAUGAAAAGGUUGUUCAAAUAACAUUGCUCCUCUUAAAACAUCUCAAAAUAGAGAAAUUACACUAUGGACACAAGCAUAAAUGAAUAUUGUAUUGAUACACACACAUCAAAGUCUUUUUUUUAAUAAUAAAAAUGAAAUUGAUAAUAUAAUGAUUUAGUAUUUUGAGAAAAAUUAUUUUUAUGUGUGUGUAACCAAACCCUAUUCAUUUAUAUUUGUGAUUAUGGAAGAAUGUCUCUUCAAAACAUCUCAAAUAUAACACAAAUUAAAUUAAUCUUUUAUAAUUAGGGUUUGUCUAACAUGUGCAAUGUUAAAACAACGAAAAGUAUUAAUUUUUUAUUGAAAACAACAAUUAUUUAUUAAAAAACUACAAAUUUAAUAUAAAAUGCACAAGUUCUAAAUCAAAGUUACUACUUUAAAUUUCUUAACAUAUGCAAAUUUACACAUGAUAGAAAACUCCUUAUAACUAUCUCACAUCUAUUUUUUAGUUUUAGGAUAUCACAUUGCUCUUGCUAAUGAUUGUAAGGUGUAUAGUGCUUAUAGGUAAACAUGGAUGAUUAGGGCUUGCUCAGACUUGGUUAUAUACAGGGGGUACGAAAGUUAAAUAUUUUCAUACACUGUAGGUAAGUUUUACGAUGUGUAUCUGAAUCAAACGCAAAUUUAAGUCAUCGAAACAUCCAUAUUUUCGGAUCUGCAACGUUGACAUUCAAAUUGAUUGAAUUUGUAUUUGAUUGAUGUCGAUCUUUCAACAGGAACUAAACGAACACCACGACGCAAAAUCAAACGUCAGACAAGACGAAGAAUAACACAACACUGCAUUUAGAUAACGAAAUCACAAAUAACACAAAAGGAAAAACUUGAUAGAUGUGAAAACCACUAAUUUAGAUCGAAAGAGAUAGAAAAAAGAUGUAGAGGGUGAUUCUAGGUCAAAAAAAUGACCCAAAACCACGCAUUUUUGAUGAAUGAAGGAAAAAAAAAAAAGUUCAAAGAGAAGUUUGAGUUUCUCUCACUAGAAAAUUAGUGUCGGCUAUAUGGAAUCACAUAGAUCGGUCCAUAUAUACCAGAAAGGUUCAUUCGCAAGAUGCACACAAACUCAAGUGCUAAUUGUUCAGCGUCAAAAGCAGCAAUAUAUAAUCAAGUGAGAAAAGAAAAUCUUUUAUCCAUGUAUAAUACGUACAUAUACAAUUAUGUAAUCAAAGAAACUAACGUGGCCCCUAGACCAAAAAAAAAAAGAAAACACUAGUUGACCCUUUGAUUAAAAAAAAAAUAAUGGACAGACAAAGUACAACAUCUUGUGUAACCUUUGUAUAUGGCAAACACCCAACAAAUACUACAUGACAAUAAUUUCCCCAUCUUCAAUUGUCACCACCACUAUGCUUUCACCAUCCUCUUUUUUUAUACAAAACAGCCAAAGUCAUCAUCAUUUCAAGUCUUCCCACUCAAUGAUCAAUCACUUUUAUUUCUUUCACUAUACUUUGAUCAAUUCAACUCUGAAAUGAAUCAAUAUUCACAAACCUGCAUCAAACGGCACACCACUACCAGAAAUCCAAGAAUCACCAGCCAAAAAAUUACCAACAGAAAAUUUAACUGCAUCAGAAGGAUUAGUAAUAACAUGAAAACCAGGCCAUUUAACUCUUCCAUCAGUAUUAGCACCACCACCAACAUUCAUAUAUUCGCCAUAAUAAAGUGUACUCAAAGCAAAACCACCCAUCCAUGGAGCCCAACCUUCUGAAUUUAUCAAACCAUCAAGAUUACUUUUCAUAACAACCGUUCUUGAAUAUUUCUGCCAUGGUCUACCAAGAUAUGUUUUAACUGAAUUCUGAAUCGCUUUCAAAUCACUUGAUGCGGUUAUACGGCAGUUAUGUAUUACAAUUCCAGUGUUUUCAUUUGGAUCUGUUCUUCCUUGUGCUGUUACGGUGUUCUUUUGGUUGCUCAUUGGUUUUCUGACAAAGAUGUUGCAGUUUUGAAGGACAGUAACGGCGUUACCGAAGAUGAAAUCGAUUGUUCCAUAGAUGUUGCAGUCACGGUAGAAUUGACGGUUGGCGUAAACAUAUAAAGUGUCUUGGAAGCCUUUGAAGGCGCAACGGUAGAAAACAGAGUGAUCGGCACCGGAACGGAGAGCCACUGCUUGGUGUUUUUGGGGUCCUGCUGUAUUCUCAAAGGUCAUGUCCUUAGCUAUGAAACCAUCUCCCAUAACACCUGCAGUAAUUAUUUAUUUCAUAGUUAGAACUUUAAAUUUAAUUCAUAUAUUAUGUAAGGAAUUUUUACACUAUACUUCGAUCAUAAUUGUCUGAUCAUUUAAAUUUAUUAAAGGCAUACAAAUGAUUAAUUGUGAACGAUAAUAUACUCACAUGUGAAGUAAAACAAUGAACAAUUGAAAAUUUUUUACAUUGACCGGUGCAUGGAGAUUAAACUCCAGAACUUUUAGUGAAUAUUGCUAGAAAGGUUUUAUUAAUAUAUUUUAUUUAAUUAUCUCAGUUUAAGUGGGUUAAUUUUUCUUCAAGAAAAAAAUAUUUGACGAACAAAAAACAAAUUUAACGUCAAUACAUAGAAAUGAGAUAUUUUCACUUUGAAUAUACAGAAAAAAAUAUCCCAAUCACAAUGUUUUCCAAGAGUCCGAUCGAUGUAAAAAAGUGUGAGUUGAAUAAUACUAAUAAAUAAUAAUAUAUAAUUGUUGGUCAUAUGGUUUAGACUUUAGAGUUUUAUAAUUGUUAUGAUGUGUUCGGUGAAUUUUUUUUUUUUUGUUUCAACAUGUUUUAUUAAAAAAAUAUUAAAAUAUCUGAACAAAAAGUAGCUUUUGUGAGAAAGUAGAAAAGUAACUAAAAACAAACUAUGUUGUUAAAACAAAUUAUGUUGUAAAAAAAAAAAAAAAAAAAAAAACAAGAGAUUGCUGAGUUUGAAAAUAUUAUCUGUUUUCAAAGAUAAAAGAUAUUUAAGAAAUUUGUACUUUAUUGUUAAUCUUUUGAUAGUCAUAUGACAAAUAGCUUCAUAUAUUAUAUAAUGUUUGAUCCGUAACACUAGGUUGUCCCUCAAAAAAAAAAAAAAAAAAGUGUUGCUUGUCUCUAUCUUAAUGGGGCCAAAGUGAUAUAUUUUCUAGUGUUCACUUAAUUCAAAGUGUUUUAAUAUUACUACUAUUACUGUUAUUGUUACGUACUAUUCCAUUGAUCAUAUGAUUUCUCCCAUGCAUAUAGAAUAUAGAUAUAUCAUAUAUGAAUAGAUGAGUGAUUAAGGAUUGAUUAACUUACCAAAAGUAGCUGAACGAAAAGUAGUAGAACCAUCUAUAGCAUUAUGAUUGCCAGUAACAAUAGUAGAAUCCAUUCCAUCUCCGAAUAUCAUUAAAUUCUUCACUGUCUUCUUGAUAUCAACAUUCUCUUUAUAAAUACCUGCUUUCAGAUGAAUAACCACUCUCCCUUUUCCACUAAGCUUAGCAGCUGCAGCCACACCCUCAGAUAUUGUCUUAUAGUUCCCACUUCCAUCUUGUGCAACCACAAUAUCAGCUCUUGGUCCUAUCCCUGACCCCGGUGUUGCCUGAAGAAGCUUUCUAUCUGACCCUGAAAGCCAAUAUGGAAAUCCAUCUGAUAACAACCUUCUCCCUCCGUUUUGCUUAGUACUUGAUGAUGAGGAUGAGGAUGAUUGUGAUGAAGUUAGAGUGUUGCUAAUGGACAAAGAAUUGCUAAGCAAUUUAGUGAAGUUGCUUAACAUGGAUGGGAAAUAAUUUAAGUGAGAUGGAAGGUUGAAAUCAAUGAAACCAUUUUGGCAAGUUUGAUGAUUGGUAAUGGAAGCACUUUGCCAAGUUAAUUUAUCAUUUAGGUUGUUUGAGUUUAUUGAGCGUUUGAGUUGAUAUAUUGUAUCCUCAUAAAGCUCUAAACAAUCCUCCCAUGCUGAUUUGGCAUGCUUGUCUUUGAAAUUAUUUAAUUCCAUGGUUGAUACAAGUUUGUGUGCUUC
rnacentral:lncRNA from 1 species